CAGCCGCCGCGGUAAUACCGGCGGCCCGAGUGGCGGUCACUAUUAUUUGGCUUAAAGCGUCCGUAGCCGGGGUGGGAAGUCCUCCGGGAAAUCUGGCCGCUUAAAGGUCAGAAUGCCGGAGGAUACUCCCAGCCUAGGGAGCGGGAGAGGCCGAGGGUAUUCCCGGAGUAGGGGUGAAAUCCUAUAAUCCCGGGAGGACCACCUGUGGCGAAGGCGCUCGGCUGGAACGCGUCCGACGGUGAGGGACGAAGGCCAGGGGAGCAAACCGGAUUAGAUACCCGGGUAGUCCUGGCUGUAAACGAUGCGGACUUUGUGUCGGACAAGCUAUGAGCUUGUCCGGUGCCGGAGGGAAACCGUUAAGUCCGCCGCCUGGGGAGUACGGCCGCAAGGCUGAAACUUAAAGGAAUUGGCGGG
rnacentral:rRNA from 1 species